UACAGAGGGUGCGAGCGUUAAUCGGAAUUACUGGGCGUAAAGGGCGCGUAGGUGGUUUAUUAAGAUUGAUGUGAAAUCCCUGGGCUUAACCUAGGAACGGCAUCGAUGACUGAUAGGCUAGAGUACUGUAGAGGGUAGUGGAAUUUCCGGUGUAGCGGUGAAAUGCGUAGAGAUCGGAAGGAACACCAGUGGCGAAGGCGGCUACCUGGACAGCUACUGACACUGAGGCGCGAGAGCGUGGGGAGCAAACAGG
rnacentral:rRNA from 1 species